GUCUACGGCCAUGCCACCCUGAACACACCCGAUCCCGUCUGAUCUCAGAAGCUGAGCAGGGUCAGGCCUGGUUAGUACUUGGAUGGGAGACCACCUAGGAAGAUUGGGUGCUAUAGGUG
rfam:Pteropus alecto contig24708, whole genome shotgun sequence.